GCACGCGCAGCCGGGCCCUUCGGGGCCUGGUGGGCGAGUGGCGGACGGGUGAGUAACGCGUAGACAAUUUCCCCUUGGGCGGGGGAUAACCACUGGAAACGGUGGCUAAUACCGCAUAACGUCUUCGAACCGCAUGGUUUGAAGAUCAAAGCCGAGAGGCGCCCUUGGAUGAGUCUGCGUCGGAUUAGCUUGUCGGUGAGGUAAAAGCUCACCGAGGCAAUGAUCCGUAGCUGGUCUGAGAGGAUGAUCAGCCACACUGGGACUGAGACACGGCCCAGACUCCUACGGGAGGCAGCAGUGAGGAAUCUUGGGCAAUGGGUGAAAGCCUGACCCAGCCACGCCGCGUGGAGGAAGACACCCCUAUGGGGCGUAAACUCCUUUUCUGCGGGAAGAACUCCCGGGUAUGCCCGGGCUGACGGUACUGCAGGAAUAAGGGCCGGCUAACUCCGUGCCAGCAGCCGCGGUAAUACGGAGAGCCCAAGCGUUGUCCGGAAUUAUUGGGUGUAAAGGGUCCGCAGGCGGGAUAGUAAGUCGGAGGUGAAAGCCCUCGGCUUAACCGAGGAAUAGCCUUCGAUACUGCUAUUCUUGAGUCCCGGAGAGGCCACUGGAAUUCGUGGUGUAGCGGUGAAAUGCGUAGAUAUCACGAGGAACACCAGAAGCGAAAGCGGGUGGCUGGACGGGAACUGACGCUCAGGGACUAAAGCGUGGGG
rnacentral:rRNA from 1 species